rnacentral:lncRNA from 1 species
GAUAAACCGACACUUUCCCAACCGCUUCACCACCCCUCAGCGACUUCCGCUUCCGGCGACUCCGAUCUCGCUCUGUCACCCAGGCUGGAGUGCAAUGGCAUGAUCUUGGCUCACUGCAACCUCAACUUCCCUGGCUGAAGUGAUCUUCCCACCUCAGCCUCCCAAGUAUCUGGGACUACAGAUGGGGAAACUGAAGCCCUAGAGGAAAAGAAGACUAAAUGUAUUACCAUCUGACCCACUUCCUGGCCAGCCUGUUCACCUGUCUGCUGUUCUUCAUUGAACAAGAGAAGGAAUCACAAUUGGUCCAUGACAGUCACGGUCAUCUCAUUCCUCUUGCCAGUGGCAGGUGUAUGUGUGAGUUUGCAGCUCAAUCCUGGCCAAGGGGAUCCAAGGACUGCUGAAGAGGCAUGUCUGCACAUGUCACCUAGAACAUCUCCAGCCAUCAUGUGAUCUCUGGGGGAGGCAUUCCCAACUCUCUGAGAGAAGCAGACCAGAAAGAUGGAAAGAAAGCACCUGGCUCCAGGAUGAUGACAUUGAGCCGAUGAAUUAACCACCUUUGUGCUGCUCUAACCUUCAGAGUUCACCUUAACAUGAGAAAAUAAAACCCUUAUUGCUU